rnacentral:rRNA from 1 species
AGCAGCCGCGGUAAUUCCAGCUCCAAUAGCGUAUAUUAAAGUUGUUGCAGUUAAAAAGCUCGUAGUUGAAUUUCGGGGUCAAUACGUCGGUCGUGCCUUCGGUACGUACUGGUGUUAUUGAUCUCUCCCUUCUGAUGAAUCAUGAUGUCAUUAAUUUGGUGUCGUGGGGAACCAGGACUGUUACUUUGAAAAAAUUAGAGUGUUUAAAGCAGGCUCGCGCUUGAAUACAUUAGCAUGGAAUAAUGAAAUAGGACGUUCGAUCCUAUUUUGUUGGUUUCUAGGAUUGACGUAAUGAUUAAUAGGGAUAGUUGGGGGCAUUAGUAUUCAAUUGUCAGAGGUGAAAUUCUUGGAUUUAUUGAAGACUAACUACUGCGAAAGCAUUUGCCAAGGAUGUUUUCAUUAAUCAAGAACGAAAGUUAGGGGAUCGAAGACGAUCAGAUACCGUCGUAG